AUUCCAGCUCCAAUAGCGUAUAUUAAAGUUGUUGCAGUUAAAAAGCUCGUAGUUGGAUUUCUGGGAGGGUGCCGCCGUCCGGCGUGUCCGUGUGCAGUGGCGCCCUUCCAUCCUUCUGUUAGCGUCUCUUGGCAUUCAUUUGCUGGUGGCGGGCUCAGAUAUUUUACCUUGAGAAAAUUAGAGUGUUUCAGGCAGGCUAGGCCGGAAUACAUUAGCAUGGAAUAAUGGAAUAGGACUACGGUCUCUUUGUUGGUUUGAGGGACUGCAGUAAUGAUUAAUAGGGAUAGUUGGGGGCAUUAGUAUUUAAUUGUCAGAGGUGGAAUUCUCGGAUUUGUUAAAGACUAACUUAUGCGAAAGCAUUUGCCAAGGAUGUUUUCAUUA
rnacentral:rRNA from 1 species